UCUACUCACGCGACGGUAGGGAUUUUUGAAGCAAAUCCGGAUGGAACGACAUCUUCCUGCACCACAUAAUCGAGAGCCGCCUUUAAAUUUUGCGCAAAGAUUGUGGCGUUGCUAUUGGGGAUAGAGCUGCAUCCGUAGGCUAAAAGAUUGGUCGAUCGUCUGUCUCUGCUCAUCUCUGCUCCCCUGACGGCAGCGGCUUCACGCGAGGCGUUCAUCAUCAAUGGCGGGAUUGUGGGAAAGAAUGGAGGGGUUCUAUUUAACCUGUAAAAUCCGCCUAUAUUUUCCCAUCCGGCUAGUAGAGGCAGGAGCUACGGGGGAAGCAGAAGCACCGGGAGCAGAGGCAGGGACGACAAUAGAGCAAUUGAUCCUGAAGAACCCAUUGAUUCGGAACCUCCAGAUCCAGACGACUGGUUUAGACUGAUGUCAUUUCACGUCCAGGUCCAGGGGUUUAGAGAUCUUGAACAGUUUUGGAUGCCAUAGCCCAAGGCUCGAAUCAGUUAAGGGUAUUGUUAAAUUUCGACAGCUCUAUUAUGUCUAAAGACGAAAUUUGGAAUAGCUCUUGAAUUUAAGGUAAGUCUGAAUUAUGCUUGUGUGAAUUUAUUUUCUCCAUUUAGUUUUAAAAAAUCAAUUCCUGUAUAAGUAAGAAGAAAGUCAGAUAGUAUAUCCUCGAGUCAAAUUAAGUUAUAUAUGUUAAGGGGUUUAUUUAAUAAAGCAGCUGCUUUGGUGCCCUGGUUUUCUGUAUCGAACCAUGAAGAUAAGGCUUUGAAAUGUGAACUCGUGAUGUUUGAAGUUAUUUGGGAAUGGAAGAUGUUACUGUAUAAAGCAUCUGCAACGUAUAUGUAGAAUUAAAUCAACAAGCCCUCAAGGAUGAGUUAAAGCCCUUUGGGCAUCAUAAAGAGAUUUGGGACAAAUGGUUAACAUUUGUUUAAAGUUGUGUACAAGUAAACAAAUCUUUGAGGACAUUGAGUCAUACUAUGUCUAAACUGUAACCUUGCAUUGAGGACGUAAUCCUUGCUUGUGGAAUAUGCCAAUAUGAAAUCUAACUAGCAGUUAUUGUCGA